rnacentral:misc_RNA from 1 species
AAAAAAAAAAAAAAAAAAACUGUCCUGUUAAUUUUAAUCUGCUGUACAAGACAUACUUUGAUCCUCUAAUAUAUGCACUCUGUUUUGUGUAUAUGCUGCUAUUCUUUUUCCCCCUUUCAUUUGUUCUGGCUGGUGAGUUGUUUCUGUAUGAUGCUUUGUCUCAUUUGAACAAAUCAUACGGAUAAGAUUGGGUUGGAUGAGCCCAAGCAGGCUGGCAGAAAGAGAUGAGUUCAUCUAUAAUUGUUAGGUGAAAUAUUAUCUGUGAAAAUUGAUACUUUUCUUCAGUAAUGUUAUGUUUGUUAAGAAGGGGUAUGAUGAAACAGCAGGAGCAUCCGUGUUGCUUCAAUUUACUCGAAAAACUAGUGAGUCAUGAAGAGAGUUUCUGGUGAAAUGAGAAGUUCCAUAGGUAGUUUACCCUGCCGUUGUCAUGAAAGCAUUUAGCUGCCAGAUAUAUAUUUGCAGUUUUGAACAAGAAAAUUUAAAAAUAUUUGAUAGG